AUUGAACGCUGGCGGCAGGCCUAACACAUGCAAGUCGAACGAGUGGCGGACGGGUGAGUAAUGUCUGGGAAACUGCCUGAUGGAGGGGGAUAACUACUGGAAACGGUAGCUAAUACCGCAUACCCUCAGAUGUGCCCAUAUGGGAUUAGCUUGUUGGUGGGGUAACGGCUCACCAAGGCGACGAUCCCUAGCUGGUCUGAGAGGCGGACCAGCAACACUGGAACUGGGAAACGGGCACGACUCCUACGGGAGGCAGCAGUGGGGAAUAUUGCACAAUGGGGGCAAGCCUGAGGCAGCCAUGCCGCGUGUAUGAAGAAGGCCUUCGGGUGGUAAAGUACUUUCAGCGGGGAGGCGUUACCCGCAGAAGAAGCACCGGCUAACUCCGUGCCAGCAGCCGCGGUAAUUC
rnacentral:rRNA from 1 species